GGCCUUUUGUAUUUAAUUUAAGGUCUGACCUGCCCAGUGAUAAAUUUAACGGCCGCGGUAUCUUGACCGUGCAAAGGUAGCAUAAUCAUUAGUCUUUUAAUAGGGGGCUGGAAUGAACGGUUUAACGAGGGACUAGCUGUCUCAUUUUAUUUGUUUUAAAAUUUAAUUUUUUAGUUAAAAAGCUAAAAUUUUAUUGGUAGACGAGAAGACCCUAUAGAUCUUCAUAUAAUUUUUUGUAUUUAUUUUUAUAUUAACAUAAUUAUAUUAAAAUUUUAUUUUGUUGGGGUGACAAAAAUAUACAUAUAACUUUUUUAUUUAUUUACCAUUGAUAUAUGAGUAUUAGAUCCAUUAUUAUUGAUUGUUAGAAUAAGUUACCUUAGGGAUAACAGCGUAAUCCUCCUCCAGAGUUCAUAUUUACAGGAGGGCUUGCGACCUCGAUGUUGGAUUAAGAUAAUAAUUAGGUGUAGCCGCUUAAUUUAUAGGUCUGUUCGACCUUUAAAUUCUU
rnacentral:rRNA from 1 species